UUGACGUGCAAGUAACGUUUCCAAGUCAAAUCCCCAUGCUGGAAAUGCUUCAUGGCACGUGAGAACAAAGAUGAGCUCCCGGCUUACUACCAAUAUUGCGAUAAUGGGAGCUGCAAUGAGAAUGUUCGUAGCGAUUUUGGAGUUUGAAUCGAUACUGCUGAUAGUUGCAUACAUUU